rnacentral:rRNA from 1 species
GCAGCCAUGCCGCGUGUGUGAGAAGGCCUUCGGGUUGUAAAGCACUUUCAGUCGUGAGGAAGGUGGUGUCGUUAAUAGCUGCAUUAUUUGACGUUAGCGACAGAAGAAGCACCGGCUAACUCCGUGCCAGCAGCCGCGGUAAUACGGAGGGUGCGAGCGUUAAUCGGAAUUACUGGGCGUAAAGCGCAUGCAGGUGGUUUGUUAAGUCAGAUGUGAAAGCCCGGGGCUCAACCUCGGAAUUGCAUUUGAAACUGGCAGACUAGAGUACUGUAGAGGGGGGUAGAAUUUCAGGUGUAGCGGUGAAAUGCGUAGAGAUCUGAAGGAAUACCGGUGGCGAAGGCGGCCCCCUGGACAGAUACUGACACUCAGAUGCGAAAGCGUGGGGAGCAAACAGGAUUAGAUACCCC